rnacentral:rRNA from 1 species
AUUCCGGAUAACGCAUAUUUGCUGGAAUGCUUUAUGCGUCAAAAGGAUUCGUCUGCCCAAGGAUGGGUCUGCGGCCUAUCAGGUAGUAGUGGGUGUAAUGUACCUACUAGCCAGCGACGGGUACGGGUUGUGAGAGCAAGAGCCCGGAGAUGGAUUCUGAGACAUGAAUCCAGGCCCUACGGGGCGCAGCAGGCGCGAAAACUUUACAAUGCGGGAAACCGUGAUAAGGGGACACCGAGUGCCAGCAUCAUAUGCUGGCUGUCCGGAUGUGUAAAAUACAUCCGUUAGCAAGGGCCGGGCAAGACCGGUGCCAGCCGCCGCGGUAACACCGGCGGCCCGAGUGGUGAUCGUGAUUAUUGGGUCUAAAGGGUCCGUAGCCGGUUUGGUCAGUCCUCCGGGAAAUCUGAUAGCUCAACUAUUAGGCUUUCGGGGGAUACUGCCAGACUUGGAACCGGGAGAGGUAAGAGGUACUACAGGGGUAGGAGUGAAAUCUUGUAAUCCCUGUGGGACCACCUGUGGCGAAGGCGUCUUACCAGAACGGGUUCGACGGUGAGGGACGAAAGCUGGGGGCACGAACCGGAUUAGAUACCCGGGUAGUCCCAGCCGUAAACGAUGCUCGCUAGGUGUCAGGCAUGGCGCGACCGUGUCUGGUGCCGCAGGGAAGCCGUGAAGCGAGCCACCUGGGAAGUACGGCCGCAAGGCUGAAACUUAAAGGAAUUGGCGGGGGAGCACAACAACGGGUGGAGCCUGCGGUUUAAUUGGACUCAACGCCGGACAACUCACCGGGGGCGACAGCAAUAUGUAGGCCAAGCUGAAGACUUUGCCUGAAUCGCUGAGAGGAGGUGCAUGGCCGUCGCCAGUUCGUACUGUGAAGCAUCCUGUUAAGUCAGGCAACGAGCGAGACCCGUGCCCACUGUUACCAGCAUGUCCUCCGGGACGAUGGGUACUCUGUGGGGACCGCCGAUGUUAAAUCGGAGGAAGGUGCGGGCCACGGUAGGUCAGUAUGCCCCGAAUCUCCCGGGCUACACGCGGGCUACAAUGGAUGGGACAAUGGGUCCCUCCCCUGAAAAGGGCUGGUAAUCUC